rnacentral:rRNA from 1 species
AUUGAACGCUGGCGGCAUGCUUUACACAUGCAAGUCGGACGGCAGCGGGGGUGCUUGCACCUGCCGGCGAGUGGCGAACGGGUGAGUAACAUAUUGGAAUGUACCGAGUAGUGGGGGAUAACCAAUCGAAAGAUUGGCUAAUACCGCAUACGUCCUGAGGGGGAAAGCAGGGGAUCUUCGGACCUUGCGCUAUUUGAGCAGCCAAUAUCUGAUUAGCUAGUUGGUGGGGUAAAGGCCCACCAAGGCGACGAUCAGUAGCGGGUCUGAGAGGAUGAUCCGCCACACUGGGACUGAGACACGGCCCAGACUCCUACGGGAGGCAGCAGUGGGGAAUUUUGGACAAUGGGGGCAACCCUGAUCCAGCCAUGCCGCGUGUCUGAAGAAGGCCUUCGGGUUGUAAAGGACUUUUGUUAGGGAAGAAAAGGGAAGUGCUAAUACCACUUUUUGCUGACGGUACCUAAAGAAUAAGCACCGGCUAACUACGUGCCAGCAGCCGCGGUAAUACGUAGGGUGCGAGCGUUAAUCGGAAUUACUGGGCGUAAAGCGAGCGCAGACGGUUACUUAAGCAGGAUGUGAAAUCCCCGGGCUCAACCUGGGAACUGCGUUCUGAACUGGGUAGCUAGAGUAUGUCAGAGGGGGGUAGAAUUCCACGUGUAGCAGUGAAAUGCGUAGAGAUGUGGAGGAAUACCGAUGGCGAAGGCAGCCCCCUGGGAUAAUACUGACGUUCAUGCUCGAAAGCGUGGGUAGCAAAACAGG